AUGGAGAACUUGGGGCCAACAAGAAGAGUUUUGCCUACAGUCACAGAGCAAGAAAGCAGCAGAGCCGACGUUCUCAAAGCCCCACCCCUAGACUGUAAUUGCAGAGCACCUCCGAGUCAGAGUCAGGAAGAGGAGAGGAGAGGCAGGACGAGGGUGCCAGAGCUUGCUGGAGGGAGAUGGCAGAAACUAAUGAGUUCCCUGCAGGACACAACAAAGCUAGAGGAGGCCUUGGAGAGACUGCAAAGGGGAGCUACAACGGAGCAGUCAAGGACAUAUAGUCUCACUUCUGUGACAGAGUGGGCGAGAGCGCUUUGCUGUUCACUCUGCAGCCGGGAUAUAUUUAAAAGAGAAAAACUUUAAAUUAAGUUUGGGAGAGUUUCAAAUGAAAGAAAACAAACCUUCACCAUUACCGCAGGUAAGAAGAGGGCUCUGGCUGCUGGGGGAAAAUCGCAAGCUGCCCUUCAUUUUGGGUCAAGAUGACAUUAAAGCUCUUCUUUGCUCUCCUGUUUCCCACCACCCCACCACCCGUGUGCCAGGUUAAUGGAAUAGGAAGCAUCAGCGCAGUUCCAUGAGGACGGGGUGGGCUUCAUGUGAAUGUAGAGGGUUAGCUCAUGGGCUCUGUGGGGUGACAGGAAGGGGGCUCCUAGCUCUAGGGUUAUUACAUUCUACCAGUGUCCUAAGCCUCUCUUCAGGAAGAGCACUGAUGUGGAAGGAAGGAAGGAAGGAAGGAAGGAAGGAAGGAAGGAAGGAAGGAAGGAAGGAAAUGAACUCAGCUUACCCCUGUAGGCUCCUAAUGUGGGAGAGGAGUGGCUCUCCUGGUCCCAAGAGUCUCCUGGGAUGACUGAGUGUCCAAUGAGGUCCUCUUGUAUGCUUGAUGCCUCCACCCAGAUUGUAUGGUUUGCUCCUUUGCUCCCUCUGCCAUUGCCACCUUCUCUGAGGGUGCACUGGAAUGGAAGCAAAGGACACUUCCCAGUCAGCCACUGUGCAGCAGUAUGGAGCUGCACCAUGCUGGAGAUAGGAAUUUCAAGUCUCUUACUAUUUCAUCUUCCUUCCCGUAGUGUUAGGCUCUUGGGAAUCCAGAGGUCUCAGGCUUGUCCCUGCCUUUGCAGAGCAUCCUAGGAGGUGGGGCAGGUGGAGACUGCCCUUGCACAGGUGCCAGCCCUUCCCAGGGUGGUGAGAGGUGGGUAGGUAGCUGGUCUUGCUCUAGGUAUUGCAGUGAACCUUCCUUCCUUUUCUUUCCUUGCCCAUGAUGGCAGUGUGGGAGCAGGGACUCAAAGGUACAGCUUUAGGGGAAGGUGCCAAGGAAGUAGCUGGGCCAGUGGGCUCCUGUGAGUCUCAGGUGCACCCGGGGUGCAGACUGGGCCUCCUGAGCUCCCCCUGCUUUUACUGGGCCUCAGACAACAGCUACAGGCUGGGGCUUGAAAGCACCCUUUUGUUCCUCUUGCCCAGUCUGUGGCAGCUGCUGGCUUCUUGGGGUCCCUGCCAUCUGCCUGAAACAUUAGGUCCUACUGCACUUACUAGGGGCCAAGUCAAUACUACAAGUCCCACUGACAUUAUUUCUCUAUUUUUAUUGCGGUAAAAUGCACAUAAUAUAAUUUUAUCAUUCUAACUGUGUUUAAGUGUACAAUUCAGAGUCUAAAUACAUUCAUAUAAUUGUGUGACUGUCACUACUAUCAAGUCACACAUCUUCAUUCCAUACUCAUUGAGCUGUUGGUCCUCACUCUCUCUCUGCCCUCUCGCUCCAGAAACUCCUAGUACGCUUUCCAUGUCUGUGGGUUUGCCUGUUCCAGAUAUUUCAUAGGAAACAGGUUGUACACUCUGUGGCCUUUUGUGCCUGGCUUCUUUCCCUUUGUCAUGUUUUUAAGGAUCAUUCAUGGGACCGUACUUCAUGCCUUUUUAAAGGUGGAAUAAUCAUGCACCAAUAAAAUAAAAUUUAAAGAUAAAGGUUUAAAAAUAUGCUGUUGCAUGGAUGUACUGCAUUUUGUUUAUCCAUUCAUUUGAUAGAUGUUUGGGUUGUAUACACCACAUAGCUAUUGUGAAUAGUGCCGCUAUGAACUUUACUUACAAGGUUUUGUGUGGACACUGUUUUCAGUCCUUUUGGCACAAACCUCGAAGUGGGAUUGUUGAGUCAUCUGCCGCGUCUUUACUUUUUGAGGAACUGCCCAACUGUAUUCCAGUGUGACUGCACCACCUUUCAUUCUCUCUAGCAAUGUAGAUUUUUGGGUUCUGGAGAUAGAACCCAGGGCUUUCACACUGAGCUACCUUUAUAGCCCUUUUAAAUUUUUUUUUCUCAUUAAGUCACUAAGUUGUCCAGAUUAGGCUUGAACUUGUGAUUCUCCUGUCUCAGCCUCCCAGCGUGCUAAGAUUACAGGUGUGCACUACCAUACCUGGCUGAUUCUUCCUGUUCUUGUCAACAAUUUUUCAGUCUUUAAAAAAGUUACUAGAGCAGUCUCAGUGGGUAAGAAGUAACUUGUGGCUUCCCUCACAAUAAUCCUGUGAACCAAGCAUUUUACUCCACUUUGAAAUGAUAAAAUGGAGAUGAGGAGACUGAGAACAAGGUACACACUAUGGCAUUUUCAUACACAGACUCACCUUUGAUUUCUCAGGUAGUGUGGUGAUGGAAAUGAACACAGCCC
ensembl:lincRNA